rnacentral:rRNA from 1 species
UACGUAGGUGGCGAACGUUAUCCGGAAUUACUGGGCGUAAAGGGCACGCAGGCGGUCUGAAUAGUCUGAUGUGAAAGCUCACGGCUUAACCGUGAGAGGUCAUUGGAUACUGGCAGACUUGAGGUAGUGAGAGGGGUGCAGAAUUCCCGGUGUAGUGGUGGAAUGCGUAGAUAUCGGGAGGAAUACCAGUGGCGAAAGCGGCACCCUGGCACUGACCUGACGCUCAUGUGCGAAAGCGUGGGUAGCGAACGGG